ACACACACACUCACACUCACUCUAACACUCACACUAACACUCACUAGCAGACACACACACUAACACUCACUCUAACACUCACUCUAACACUCACACUAACACUCACUAGCAGACACACACACUAACACUCACUCUAACACUCACACUAACACUCACUAGCAGACACACACACUAACACUCAUUCUAACACUCACACUAACACUCACUAGCAGACACACACACUAACACUCACUCUAACA